CCUACGGGAGGCAGCAGUGGGGAAUAUUGGACAAUGGGGGCAACCCUGAUCCAGCCAUGCCGCGUGUGUGAAGAAGGCCCUCGGGUUGUAAAGCACUUUCAGUGAGGAAGAACGCCUGGUGGUUAAUACCCAUCAGGAAAGACAUCACUCACAGAAGAAGCACCGGCUAACUCCGUGCCAGCAGCCGCGGUAAUACGGAGGGUGCGAGCGUUAAUCGGAAUUACUGGGCGUAAAGCGCGCGUAGGUGGCUUGAUAAGCCGGUUGUGAAAGCCCCGGGCUCAACCUGGGAACGGCAUCCGGAGAUGUCGAGCUAGAGGGCAGGAGAGGAAGGUAGACUUCCCGGUGUAGCGGUGAAAGGCGUAGAGAUCGGGAGGAAUACCAGUGGCGAAGGCGGCCUUCUGGACUGACACUGACACUGAGGUGCGAAAGCGUGGGUAGCAAACAGGAUUAGAUACCCGGGUAGUC
rnacentral:rRNA from 1 species